rnacentral:rRNA from 1 species
UGCGACCCCAGGAUGGGCGAGGCCACCCGCCGA